GGAAGGAUCAUUAGCAAGUUCUGGUACAGAAAGGGGACGCACUUGUGCGACCCUUUGUGUUCCACAUGAGUGAGUGAGGGAGAGAUGUGAUAAGGUGUGAGUAAUGAAUGAAUGAAGUGAAAUGGAAUGAAUAUGUGAAUAUUUGAUGUGAAUAAUGAAUAUUGUGAAUGUCAUGGAUAUAUGAAUAUUGUGAAAUCAUUUAAAUAUGAACAUCACUAUCAUUUAUAAUUCAUUAUCAUUUGAAUAUCAUUUGAAUAUUAUAAUUCAUUUAUUUAUUCAUUAUAUUUCAUUCAUUGUAAUUCAUUAUAUUCCAUUCAUUGUAAUUCAUUAUAAUCAAUCUAUCGUUGCAUCGAUCCCUUGCAACCACAUAUAUAUAUCACAUGACUAAAGCCACUAUAACAUUCAGUACUUUUAACAAUGGAUCUCUAGGCUCUUGCAGCGAUGAAGAACGCAGUAAAGUGCGAAAAGUGAUGCGAUUUGCACGAACCUGUGAGUCAUCUAGUAUUUGAACGCAAAUGGCACUCCUGGCAGCAGGAGUAUGUCUGCAUGAGAAUGGGAAUAAGAGUUCUUUUUUAGGUAAAGAAGGGACUGGGUUUAGGGUUUGGGGCUGGGUUUGCAAAGGCCUUGUCUUGAUACUUUACUCUGAAUGCAUUAAAAGGAGAUGGAAUAUUUAUUCUAUCCCCACUGGGGAGUGUGCUAGACACUCGCUCUCCUUCACAUCAGCCAUCUCAUGUCAGACAAGAGUACCCGCUGAACUUAAGCAUAUCAAUAAGCGGAGGAAAAGAAACUAACAAGGAUUCCCUCAGUAACGGCGAGUGAAGCGGGAUGAGCUCAAAUUUAAAAUCAGGCGCAAGCCGGAAUUGUAGUGUAUAGAGGCGCUAUCGGAUGCCAGAGUCUGCUCAAGUCCCAUGGAAUUGGGCAUCAGAGAGGGUGAGAAUCCCGUUGGGCAGAGAAAGGUGUUUGUAAGAGGCGUUUUCAAAGAGUCGAGUUGUUUGGGAUUGCAGCUCAAAGGGGGUGGUAAACUCCAUCUAAGGCUAAAUAGAGGCAAGAGACCGAUAGCAAACAAGUACCGUGAGGGAAAGAUGAAAAGCACCUUGAAAAGGGAGUUAAAAGCGCGUGAAAUUGUUAAAAGGGAAACGCUUGGAGCCAGAGGGGCGGGCCAGUUCAGUGUUCUGUGGUGGAGGAGACGCAAGCCAUGGGAUGUGUAUUCUGGAACGCCUGGUCAGGGGUGAUUUGGGGAGCCGGAGAAGGGUAUCGGGAAGAUGGGCAGUUGCCAUUGGCAGGUGUUUUUACAGACCGGUGCAGAUGGGGUUUUCUAGAUUGCUUUGGGAUUGGGGUGCUUAAACUGGGGAGAUUGGUGGUGGGGGGAUGGAGACAAACUUUGGCUCUGUUUCUGCUGCCAGCAAGAAGCCCAGCGGGCAUUUUAUUCGCCUGACGGAUUGGCUCCAAACGACCCGUCUUGAAACACGGACCAAGGAGUCUAACAAAUGUGCGAGUAUUUGGGUGGCAAACCCGGAUGCGGAAUGAAAGUGAGUCCUUGGAGCGGGUGGGGGGAAUGUUCAUGUAUAAUGCUCGUUCAUCACCGCGCGCGCACAAGGGACCAAUUGUCUUUGAUUGAUAAAUUGAGUUGGAGCAUAUAUGUUGGGACCCGAAAGAUGGUGAACUAUGCCUGGAUAGGAUAAAGCCAGAGGAAACUCUGGUGGAGGUCCGCAGCCGUUCUGACGUGCAAAUCGAUGGUCGAAUCUGGGUAUAGGGGCGAAAGACUAAUCGAACCAUCUAGUAGCUGGUUCCCUC
rnacentral:misc_RNA from 1 species